UCAAGCGUUUCUUUUAUCUUUACACCGUUUCACUGAAGCGUGAGAAAGUAAUUCGUUCCUUACCAAUAGAAGUGGAAGUUUGCACUUUACCCCGGUUGUUUCGCACGAUCUACGUUAACUCCCCAUUGUUUGAUUUAAUCGCUUAGUUAUUUCUAUAGUUAAGAGCCAAUCGGCGAGCAUUCGAGUUCUUCCUCAACGUUUGUUCUGAAUUGCACAGAAGCCCAGCCAUAAAUAACUCACUCUAGCCAUUCAAUUCGACAGAAGAAUCGAAUACCGUGAAGUAUUCAAGUCAAAUAUGCAUACACACUAAAUGAGAGAUGCAAAUAAGACAGAGGUUAACAGGAAGAUGUAGACUUGAUAUGACCAUCAGGGGUCAAACAAAAUGCGUCACCGUCGCAGUCUGAGACAGUGAAACAUCACUUGUUUGACAGCUGUUGAUCACUAAAGGAUAGGAGCACAGAGCCGCAGUCAUAGCAGACUGAAAAGAGAGAGAGAGAAAGAAUACGAGACGAAAGGGAGAGAGGUUAACCAAAAUAACUGUCCUGUUGGAUAGUCUGCCCUAGGAAAAACAGGAGCGGGUGGCACAGGCGAGGAGAAAGAAGGUAUGAAAACAAUAUGUUCUCACAAACACGAUGAAGACGUUUGACAACAAAUAAAGUCAUAAAAAAUGUGCAGCGCAUACUACGUGCGGAGGUUGUAGGUUCGGCUCACUCCCACCAGCAGCGAGUGUCAUCCUUUACGAUGUUUUGUUGCAUCUACGUCCUGAUCAAACCCGCAAAGUUAUAGGCAUGGUAAAUGGAAAGACAGAAUCAGGCUAGAUUGUUAGACUGCUCUUUCGCAAAUAUCGGAAGCCUCGGGACGUUUGCCUCAACUAGACGCUGUGACUCGCUUCGAGAGUACGGGCUUUUGUAUGUUUUGUUAAUCCACGUGCAUUUUGUUGUACGGUCAUUUCAUAUGUCAUCGCUCUCAUCGGGAGUAACAUGCUCUAUAUAUGUGAGCCGCCAGUUAAACUUUCCCAGAUUUCAAUAAAUAACACCUCCCUUCUCUC